CGACGACGCCACCUUAUGCCAUUUGUUCAGCGAAACGUUGGACGGCGAGGCAAUGAACUGGUUCUUUGAAUGUCCGCCAGGAUCUGUCGGCUCAUUCUAUGCACUGUCGCACGCUUUCCUCUCCCGCUUCAUCUUAUUGUCCGCCGGACAUCACAACACAAGUCAGCUAUUCGGCGUUAAGCAAGGGGAGAACGAAUCACUGAAGGCCUUCGUCACAAGGUGGCGGGCGACAGCAUCUCAGUGCCGCGACCUAGACAAAACUAUGGCAUCGGCAGCCUUCAGGAAGGGACUCCUCAAGGGACCGUUCCUCUAUCACCUCAAUUACAAUCAUCCCAAUGCUACGUACGACCAUGUCAUGAGUGAGGCGGUCAUUCACGCCCAGGCGGAAUUCAUCACAUAUGGAGAGACCCCACCACCAGCAACGCCAACAAGGUCAACACAACCAUCUUCCAGUCACCAGGAAACCGCUAACAAGACCCCCUCAGCACCGC
rnacentral:lncRNA from 1 species